GGAUGUGAGGACAAUCUGACUGUGACAUCUGUCACCCCAUUGAUCCCCAGGGUUGAUUCAGCUGAUCUGACUGGAUUGGCAGGUGUCCUCUUCCUCCCUCACUGCUCUAUGUGCUUCCCUCCUGAAGCUGCACGCUUGGUCAAAGAUGGCCUUGCCUGAAUAGAGACUAGUCUUUGGUCGAGGGUAUAUGAGUAGCUGCGCUCCCCUGUUAGAACCUCCAAACAAGCUCUCAGGGUCCAUUUGUAGGAUACUGUAGGGUAGUCAAGCUUCCAAGACUCCAAACACAUCCAAAUGAGGCACUGCAUGUGGCAGUCUGCCUUAAAAA
rnacentral:snRNA from 1 species